rnacentral:rRNA from 1 species
UACGUAGGUGGCAAGCGUUGUCCGGAAUUAUUGGGCGUAAAGCGCGCGCAGGCGGCCUCUUAAGUCUGAUGUGAAAGCCCCCGGCUCAACCCGGGGAGGGCCAUUGGAAACUGGGAGGCUUGAGUAUAGGAGAGAAGAGUGGAAUUCCACGUGUAGCGGUGAAAUGCGUAGAGAUGUGGAGGAACACCAGUGGCGAAGGCGACUCUUUGGCCUAUAACUGACGCUGAGGCGCGAAAGCGUGGGGAGCAAACAGG